rnacentral:lncRNA from 1 species
UACUUAAAAGAAGAGUAUGUCAAAAGAAUGGAGGGAUCAGCAUGAAAUACGGUAGACGUGAGAUUUUGGCUGCAUUCACUGAGUGCUGUCCAGGAAGCGGAGAAAGACUGAAACUGAAGAGGAAACACUGAAUCUGGAGGAACUAUCAAAAUGGAAAUUAAAGAAAAUGGCUUCAAACAGAAGAUUUAUCAUAGAGUGGAAUGAAAAAGCCACUAGAAAAACUAAGGCUCUUUGCUGAUAAUGAGUCAGCUUGUAGAAAGGAUGCUGAGCCCUGCCAGAGGAGGGAAGAUCAGGUUUCUGCUCUCUGGGUUUUGACUUCUUCAUCUUACCUGGAUGGUUGAGUCAAGUUAAUCUUCAAUUCAGGAGGUCCAUUUUGGUCUUAGUGGAAACCACUUUCUCCAAUCUUAAAAACAAAACAAAACAAAACAAACUUGAUUGAUAUUUUAAUUUAAUUCUAAUGUUAAUCUAUAACCAUGGUCAC